CGGGGGAACAGCGAGAGAGAGGCGGGGAGGUGGUUGAACAUGAAGCUCCCGGUGACAGGAGGAAGACAGCGGGGCUGAACGGGAUCACCGGAACCGGUAACAGUCAGUCAGCAGCCAGCAGAUGGAUGACCAUGUGCAGGGCAUAGGCCAGGACCAGCAGCAGGAUGAGGGAGGUGAUGAGGCCCAUCAGGAUAGCCGGUGUCAGGAAGGUGAUGCAGUCACUCGCCGGGGAAAACUUACCGGAUGAGACACUGAAGGCCUGGAUCUGAGGAACACACAGACACAUGGUGAAAAUAACUAAGAAGACAUCUUCAUUCAUCCUCACACAGCUAUUUGUUGAAGGGGAUCCUCUAUGGAAAUUAAAAUCUAUGAUAAGAAUACUCUGGCUUUUUGAAGGCGAGAUGGUGAUAUUUCUGAGAUGUUGAUAUUAAAUAAAUAAUCAUUUUUCAUGUACCAUUA